rnacentral:rRNA from 1 species
CCUACGGGAGGCAGCAGUGAGGAAUAUUGGUCAAUGGACGAGAGUCUGAACCAGCCAAGUAGCGUGAAGGAUGACUGCCCUAUGGGUUGUAAACUUCUUUUAUAAAGGAAUGAAACGAGGCGAGUGUGCCUUUUUGCAUGUACUUGAUGAAUAAGGAGCGGCUAACUCCGUGCAAGCAGCCGCGGUAAUACGGAGGAUCCGAGCGUUAUCCGGAUUUAUUGGGUUUAAAGGGAGCGUAGAUGGGUUGUUAAGUCAGGUGUGAAAGUUUGCGGCUCAACCGGAAAAUGGCAAUUGAUACUGGCAGUCUAGAGUACAGUUGGGGUAGGCGGAAUUCGUGGUGUAGCGGUGAAAUGCGUAGAUAUCACGAAGAACCCCGAUUGCGAAGGCAGCUUACUAAACUGUGACUGACAUUGAUGCUCGAAGGUGUGGGUAUCAAACGGGAUUAGAUACCCGGGUAGUC